rnacentral:misc_RNA from 1 species
GGCUUAUUUUCUCUGUGUAUCGAUCUCUCUCCAUCACUUCUCUCUCUCAGCCAAAAUGGGGAAAACUCGUGGAAUGGGAGCUGCUCGUAAGCUGAAGUCCCACCGCAGGAGGCAGAGGUGGGCUGACAAGGCUUACAAGAAAUCCCAUCUUGGGAAUGAGUGGAAGAAACCUUUUGCUGGGUCAUCCCAUGCCAAAGUGGAAUUGAAGCUAAGCAGCCGAACUCUGCUAUCAGAAAAUGUGCUCGUGUNCUCAAGAAUGGGAAGAAAAUUGCAGCCUUUGUACCAAAUGAUGGUUGCUUAAACUUCAUUGAGGAAAAUGAUGAAGCAUUGAUUGCUGGAUUUGGACGGAAGGGGG